GAUCCUGCUCAGGAUGAACGCUAGCUACAGGCUUAACACAUGCAAGUCGAGGGGCAGCAUUUCAGUUUGCUUGCAAACUGGAGAUGGCGACCGGCGCACGGGUGAGUAACACGUAUCCAACCUGCCGAUAACUCGGGGAUAGCCUUUCGAAAGAAAGAUUAAUACCCGAUGGUAUAAUUAGACCGCAUGGUCUUGUUAUUAAAGAAUUUCGGUUAUCGAUGGGGAUGCGUUCCAUUAGGCAGUUGG
rnacentral:rRNA from 1 species